rnacentral:rRNA from 2 species
GAACCUGCCUUCAGAAUGGGGACAACAGUUGGAAACGACUGCUAAUACCCAAUGUGCCGAAAGGUGAAAGAUUUAUCGUCUGAAGAUGGGCUCGCGUCUGAUUAGCUAGAUGGUGGGGUAAGAGCCUACCAUGGCAACGAUCAGUAGCUGGUCUGAGAGGAUGAGCAGCCACACUGGGACUGAGACACGGCCCAGACUCCUACGGGAGGCAGCAGUGGGGAAUUUUCCGCAAUGGCGAAAGCCUGACGGAGCAAUACCGCGUGAGGGAGGAAGGUCCUUGGAUUGUAAACCUCUUUUAUCAGGGAAGAAAAAAAUGACGGUACCUGAUGAAUAAGCAUCGGCUAACUCCGUGCCAGCAGCCGCGGUAAUACGG